AGAGACAGCAGACAGAAGCAGGGACGACAGACACAGUCCGGAGGGCUGUAAGCUAGGGGUGGUGGGAUCAGGUUUCUGAAACUUCCUCCACUGCCGUGUGGAUGCAAGGCAGAAGCUGGCCCAGGAGGGUCACUUAGAAGGCCACCUCUUAAAACAGAGAUGAGCAAAGACAACGGCUGACCUGGGGCAGGGGAAUUAGGGGUGGGGGAAGGGGAGAGGAGAUGCUGCCUGGGCUGGGGGCUGUCUUUCAUGAGGCAGCCAGAGGAGCCAAGGAUGGCCUCUGAAUGGGAGGCUGGGGCUGAGUCCAGCCAUCCCAGGACCUCCGGUGUGUGACUCCUGGACAUACCAGUCUUUGCCAUCCUAGCCCAGGCUGUCCCCACAUCCAAAGCUCCCCCUGUGGUCCCACCCCUGCUGCCCUUCAGAGCUGCGACCAUGGCCCUCAGGCCUGUCCACCGCCCUCGGCAACAUCAUGGCUAACCUGGGCUCCACACAUUUCUUCCAUCAGCAGACAGUGCCCCUCCGGGGGAAGCUCUGAGACCCAGCACCUAUCGGGAAAAACUCAAAGGUCCAGGCGCUGAAUCUAAGCCAGGUAAAAAUAUAGAUAAAGAGUGCUGGGAAGGAGCUUUUUUGAAAACACACCCACCCAGCCCCUGGGGUUGAAUUCAAUGCCAGGAGCCACUUUCUCCUUGACCUGAUCCUCAAAGGGCUUCAUCUGCCUCUCUGUGCCCUCUCUUGCCUGUGGGCAGGGAUGAGUUUUAAACUCACAAGC
rnacentral:lncRNA from 1 species